GGAACCGGGGAAGUAAGUUACCACACCAAGGUUAAGUGCUUUGAGAUCGAGGAUCCCCUUCCUUUUUGUGCAUGUCUUCCCCACAAUGGAAGGCAGGGGUUGCUUCAGCCGGGUGGAGUAAGUCUUUUAAGUGGGGCCGUGUUGACAUCAAGGAACAACCUCCUGCUGUUCAGCGUGGAACCUCAGAGAACAAGUCAUGGGACGUUAACCCAAGAUGGUGAAGGCACUCGCCUGAUGUUUUGUGCCAAGGAUGAUUUAUGUUUUUCCUAAAGUCUGCCUAGCUGAGCCACUGUGGGGUGGAAGGUGGUUAUGAAGUCGUGGAAGGAACAGACAGACACUGGAUCUGACACUGAUUUCCCUCUUCUUGUGUACGAGUGGUGACUAGAGACAUUUAGGUCUCCCAGUGGGUACGACUGGGCACGUACCUAUGCACAAAACUUGAGAGGAGGUAUCUGAUACGUGUACAUCCACGUUUCCAGAAGGAAAGGGAAUUUGCUAUGCGCUUACUGUUUUGUGUCCUUGUACACGGGCUGCCCUUGGGAUUCAUCACUAAAACAUCCGGGUGAUGCUGCAAACCGUGUUUCCACAUUAAGUGAUUCAUCUUAAAUGCAUGAAAUGAAAGAAAACAGAAAGCUGAGUUGCUGUAUAAAUGGGGCAAGUUAGUGAAACAAGGAGGAUGGCCCAGACUCUCUGCAUUUAAGAAGUAUGGCUCCUAUGAGAAUUUUCCGUGCACACAGAAUUGCCAAGGAAGUUGUGGAGGUCUUCACAGAUUCCCUGAAAUAUCUGUAACCAUGUCAGUCCUCCAAGUUUCUUUUGUGAAGAUGGGAACAGCAUGUGGUAUUACCAUUUCCUCUGCUUAAAACCAUCACCCCAUCACUGGGCUGUCAUUUCAGCAACAUCUUAACAAAUGAAAAUUCUCCUCUGAGUCAAUAGUAAUUAUAGGAAUUUAUCACAAUUGCCAAUCAAGGUGUUCUGAAGAGACUCAUCUUUCUUGUUAAAUUAGCUUUCACUGCACGCAAACAGUGAGUUAUCUUUAGGAAAUCAAUUGCGGGGAAAUUACAGCUUUCAUGGAGUGAUAUAACCUUGCCAAUGGUCUUGUUAUACAAAAUUCCUCUACCAAGAAAUUCAGCUGGGCUCACAUCACUUAUUUUCCGGGUCUGUAUUUCAAUGCAGUAAAUGUGGAAAAAGUCAACUUCCGAGAGCCAAGGAAGGGGGCAGAGACCAGGACCUUGGAAAUGUCUCAAGACACCUGCAGCCAAUUAAACCAUCACCCCAGAAGAGGUCAGGAGGCUGAGGAUGUCAUUUCAAAAGACUUUGAUCCAAGGGAUUUGAGGAUAGAUGUCCUGGCGGGAGAUGUUACUGGCUGUUUUGUACAUGCUUACGCUAGAAGAAGCUUUGGUUGGAGGAGACUUUGAGUAAUUACCGAGCUCUUUAAAGAAGCAGUAACAUCGGAGGUUCUUCUCAGAAGCCUUGGUGACAUGGGUGAUCAGGGACCAUUUCCUGCGGCAGCUGGAGGAAGUCCAUUUUAGCAUUUAAUCUCUGCUACAGGUUCCCACAUCAAAGGGUGGAUACCUAUAAAUGCUCUACCUGGAUGUGACAGAAAGAAGCCAAGCAGGCACACGACAAGGUCACUCUCUCCAACAGGUGGCUUCCAUGUCUGUGUGAAGGAGGCGAAGAAGUGCUAUCACGCUGGCCCCAGCUCCCUUUAGGAAAUUCUUUGAAAUCUGCUUUAGUGCACAAAGGAUCAAGCGCUUAUAUUUGAGAGACUAAAAUCAUACCCUCUUUUUAUUUAAUACAGGUUUUUUUUUUUCUUUCUGUUUUGUGUAGAUCGGCAUAUAUAGCCAGCACAAUAAAGAGGUCACAAAUAAACAGGUUUAAAGAGUAUAGAAAACUGUAAGUUCUCUGUAGCAUUCCUAUGCGAAGUUAGAGAUCUGCACUUGGACACAAAGGAGGAUGGAGAUGAAGAGGUUGCUUCAGAAGAACAAGACGCAGGUUUUCAGAGCCGUCGUGGUCAGGGGUGGAGAAGAGGCAUCGCUCAGCAUCUGCAGAUAACUUUGUGCAAAGAUGAAAAGGUAGCAAUAGCUGAAUGGAUGUUACAGGUGGCUGAAUUAAUUAACUCCAAAUCCCAACACCCCAAAACAUCCGGCGCUGGGAUUAGGGAAUCAGAGCUAGUUUACUAGCGAAUCCCAAAUCUCAGACAUUAUUUGGAUUCAAAUUGGAACUCUUGCAGACGGAUGGAGGUGGGAAAAGGAUUAGGGAAAUGGAGGGAGGGGUGGAUGCAUUCUUUCUCCUCUGGGAAUAACUUGCUGUCUCUCCUUCAUUUCUUCUCUUUGUUCUCUUGUCCCUCUCUUUGUCCUUCUGUUUGCCAUCCUUCUUCGUUCAUUCUUCCCUCUCUUCCUCUGCCUCCCAACGUCGGGAUGUCUGUCACCCGACUCUUCCUAUUCCUAUCAGCCUCCUCUUCCCCUGUUGCUGUCUCUCAACUCUUUUUCACUCUGCUUUCCUCCUUUUUUUUAAUUUAUGGCUUUUUUCUAUCACUUAAAGGCACGCAAGUACUGCUUGAUUAGUUUUUCUCCAUUCCAGAACAUUCGAGUUAACAAAACAAGUGAAAAAUCACUGCCAAGAGGAAAGCGGGAAUAUGGAAAACAAGCAUGAACAGCCACCAAGGGGAACAGCAAACACGCAGAAAAGAGAGGACUUCUGUCAGCGACCAUGAAACUGUGAUAGACUAAUGUGUUGGCUUGUGAGUAGAGAACAAUCUCAGAUCCUGCACAGUUCUUGACAUCUGUCCAGCCGCUAGCUGCUGUCACUGUCCUAAGGGAGGCAGCGGAUGUUUGAGUGGUGAAGCCAUCUUGGGCAUCUGGGCCCUAGAAGAUACCACAUGGACCAGAAGAACUGCCCAGCUGAGCCCAGCCCACAUUUCAGAAUCAUGAAAAAUAAUGUGUUGUUGUUUCAAGCUAAUUUGGGGAUGGUUUGAUAAUCAUCUAAUAACAUUUAGGGAGCACAGCUGUCAUUUCCUCCUUCCAGAAGAAGUCCAAAUGGUUCUCAUAGUCAUUUCUGUUCACUACUCAUAAAUUUCCUACAUACCUGGAAUCAUACUUUACACAUCUAAAUAGAUCUGCCUCUAUCCUAAAUACAAAGAUUUUGAAAUUGAACAUUCAGACUCAACAACUGCUAAUGGCCCCCAUUGCUGAUAGGAAAAAAUUUAAGGUCUUCCCUAUCUGCACCUGUUCUCUCUAUCUGAUGUUAUUAUCCAUAACUUCCCCAUCAGAAUUUUUUCUGUUAUUCUACUUUGUACUUUUUAUUCUUUUUCUUGAUUCUAAACCUUAACUACUACUAUUUCUUUGGACUAGGUUGCCCUCCCUCUGUCAUUAUUACUAAAUCAUACCUACUCUUCCAACUUGUACCCUUGUUGAUUUUCUUUUUUUCCUUUUGAGACAGGGUCUUG